AGCUUGAAGAGGGAAAUCUGGGUGGCUGGUUGGCUGGAAGAGCAGAGGACUGUGUGCAGCUCACUGCACACAGGACUGAGCCUAGGGAAGUCUGCCAAAGAAUGGGUGCCUGGAUGGCUGGAAGAGCAGCAGGACCAUGGACAGGUCUGUGGAGGCAGGCUGAGCCCAGGGGACUGAGCCCAGACCCUAGCCAAAUACUGUGAUGAGUCCUGCUGGUAUGGUUGAAGACUGAGCCCAGGGAGAGCUGCCGAAAGGACAGCAACUGAGGGUACUGAGAUGGGCCCCUGUUGGGCUGUUAAAGAAGACAGUGUCUCCGGGGAGGAAGCCUGAGUGCUACAGUCCCAUAGCAGGGCCAUGAGAAAGAGCUGGAGACUGUAUACCCCCAAAGGCGGGACAGUGUGUAUGACUUGGCUGGAGGCUGAGUUGUUGAAGGCCUGCUGAAAAAACAUUGGCUGGGUGCGGGGGUGGAGAGUGCUUGUAAGAGGCGUUUGCCACCCUAUUGUAAGAACUGAAAAAAAACACAGGCUCACAUGCAACCAAAAAGGGAGUGCCUGCCAGAGGUGGGUGCUGUGAAAAAGACUGAAUGAUUGCAGGCACGGUGCCAAUGCCGUUACAGGAAGAAAGGAAGCCAGUGCAAGAUGAGUGGAGAGAGCAAUGAGGAAAGAAGAGGUAGACCACUUAAUACAAUGCAGUCCACAUCCAGCCCCUUUGAGGACCUAAGUGGAUAUCAACUGGACAGACUGAAAGCCUGCCAAGCUCCUUCCAUGGCCCUCCCUCCUCUCCCGGUAGUGUUUAGUUCUCACAAAGGUGUAAUGUUAAAAUGUCCAGGCAUCACACUGAAAAUGUAUUUCUUAACCUGGCAUUAAGAUAAUAUUUUCUUUGGUGUUUUUGUGUAUGUGUAUGUGUUCAAGUACAUUUGAUGUGCUACUGUAUGUAUCACAAAGAAAAUACAAAGCAGUAGUAACUGAGGCGAUUUUAUGUAGGUUAGUUAGAUCCACUCAGCAGGUAGAAAAAGCAGAGACUAGAUAAAAAAUGUUUAUUUGAACCAAACAACAUAGAUAUUAAAAUGUUCAUAUUUUUAGCUGGUAACUGUAAAAUGGACAUGGAUUUGAGUUGCCUAACCAUCUCCUCUCAUGUCUGCAAAAGAGUCUGUAUUUAUAUACCCAUAGGGUUAUAUUAACAUGUUUGUAAUUAAAAUCCUAUUUUAAUCCUA